UACGUAGGGUGCGAGCGUUAAUCGGAAUUACUGGGCGUAAAGCGUGCGCAGGCGGUUCGUUAAGUUCGUCGUGAAAGCCCCGGGCUCAACCUGGGAAUGGCGAUGGAAACUGGCGGGCUGGAGUGUGGCAGAGGGGGGUGGAAUUCCACGUGUAGCAGUGAAAUGCGUAGAGAUGUGGAGGAACACCGAUGGCGAAGGCAGCCCCCUGGGAUAACACUGACGCUCAGGCACGAAAGCGUGGGGAGCAAACAGG
rnacentral:rRNA from 1 species